rnacentral:rRNA from 1 species
GAUGCAGCCAUGCCGCGUGUGUGAAGAAGGNCUUCGGGUUGUAAAGCACUUUCAGUCAGGAGGAAAGGGUGUGUUUUAAUANAGCAUAUCUGUGACGUUACUGACAGAAGAAGCACCGGCUAACUCCGUGCCAGCAGCCGCGGUAAUACGGAGGGUGCGAGCGUUAAUCGGAAUUACUGGGCGUAAAGCGUACGCAGGCGGUUUGUUAAGCGAGAUGUGAAAGCCCCGGGCUCAACCUGGGAACUGCAUUUCGAACUGGCAAACUAGAGUGUGAUAGAGGGUGGUAGAAUUUCAGGUGUAGCGGUGAAAUGCGUAGAGAUCUGAAGGAAUACCGAUGGCGAAGGCAGCCACCUGGGUCAACACUGACGCUCAUGUACGAAAGCGUGGGGAGCAAACAGGAUUAGAUACCCUGNNNNUCCACUGCUGCCUCCCGUAGGAA